UGCCUUAGUAGCGGCGAGUGAAGCGGCAAAAGCUCAAAUUUGAAAUCUGGCGCCUUCGGUGUCCGAGUUGUAAUUUGAAGAUUGUAACCUUGGGGUUGGCUCUUGUCUAUGUUUCUUGGAACAGGACGUCACAGAGGGUGAGAAUCCCGUGCGAUGAGAUGCCCAAUCCUAUGUAAGGUGCUUUCGAAGAGUCGAGUUGUUUGGGAAUGCAGCUCUAAGUGGGUGGUAAAUUCCAUCUAAAGCUAAAUAUUGGCGAGAGACCGAUAGCGAACAAGUACAGUGAUGGAAAGAUGAAAAGAACUUUGAAAAGAGAGUGAAAAAGUCCGUGAAAUUGUUGAAAGGGAAGGGUUUGAGAUCAGACUCGAUAUUUUGUGAGCCUUGCCUUCGUGGCGGGGUGACCCGCAGCUUAUCGGGCCAGCAUCGGUUU
rnacentral:rRNA from 1 species